CUGGGCCGCUGCCGCCGCGCCCAUAGGUCCCGGGAGCCGUCCGUCAGCGCGGGCCCCCGCCCCCUCCCGGGACGCCCCACCCCGUCUCGUGCAGCGCCGGCCGGAAGGAAGCAGCGCACUUCCGGUCUUCGAAACGUCCCAGCCUGCGGGGUGCAGCUACCUCCGCGGCACGCGGGAUCCCGGAAGGGCGCUGGACUCGUGCUGCAGACCGCAGGGCCGGAGGCCACCUUCCCUCACGCAGACGCCCACCACCCCGGGCCCAGAGCGAUUGCUGGGGCUUGGGGGAAGAGGGCCGAGCUGCGAGGAAGGGUGGCUCGGAUCAGACCGCGGAGCCUUGGCACCUCUUCGUCCCCCAGGGGGAAGAUGGGCGGGCAGCAGAAAACUGUUCUUUCCGCCGGCGCCCUCCUGUCCCCUGUGCUGGUCGAUCCGGAGGGGCCGGGCCACCAGCCCCUGUGUUGAGAGGACAUUCACACAGCCUGUAGUGAAGGCUCCAUGGGCAGCACCUGGCCUGUGACCAACAACCUGCCUGCCGUGUGAGCAAGCCACCUCAGAGCAAGACCUGCCAGGUCCAGGCCCUCCGUGCCACUCCCAAAUAUCUGAUGGUCCUUGCAAGGAGAUCAAACCAGUCAAUCCUAAAGGAAGUCAGUCCUGAAUAUUCAUUGGAAGGACUGAUGCUGAAGCUGAAACUCCAAUCCUUUGGUCACCUGAUGCAAAGAACUGACUCAUUGGAAAAGACUCUGAUGCUGGGAAAGACUGAAGGCAGAAGGAGAAGGGGAUGACAGAGGAUGAGAUGGUUAGAUGGCAUCACUGCCUCGAUGGACCUGUGUUUGAGCAAGCUUGGGGAGUUGGGGAUGGACAGGGAAGCCUGGAGUGCUGCAGUCCAUAGGGUUGCAAAGAGUCAAACGUGACUGAGUGACUGAACUGAACUUGCUGAUCAUCUGUUUUAAAUAUAGUAGUGUGUACAUGUCAAUCCCAAACUCCUUAUCUGUCCUCCCCUCCACAUGUCACCCCUGGUAACCAUAAAUUCAUUUUCUAAGUCUAUGAGUCUGUUUCUGUUUUAUAAAGAAGAUCAUUUGUAACAUUAAAAAAGAUACUGUAUAUAAGUGAUAUCAUAUGAUAUUUGUCUGUUUGUCUGAUUUACUUCUCUGUCUGAUUUAAUAUGAUAAUCUCUAGGCCCACCCAUGUUGUGAAAAAUGGCAGUUUCAUUCUUUUUACUGGCUGAGUAAUAUUCCAUUGCACGUAUGUACCAUAUCUUUAUCCAUUCAUCUGUCAGUGG
ensembl:lncRNA